AAGUCCCGGGACAGGUCGUGUGAGCCCCUUGAGGGGGUCGUCCAGUGCUGUUUCAGAGAAAUCUCUAUUUCAAUCUGUUCCUAUAUGUUUGUUAUUGAAAAACAAUAGACAAUCGAAAAAACAAGUUGAACUUUUUGUGUUCCUUGAGCCCAGUCUUGAAGUGCCCUCGUGACUGUCCCUCAUGCCAAACAACUUGUUACAAAAAGAGCUGGGGUUCCAGACCGCACCAAAGCUUCAUGAGUCCUCUCCUGUCUGUGCACGGACGAGGGUAGGACUCUGGAGCCCAGACUGCUGCUUCCUGAUCUGGUGGUAAAUUCUCCAUAGUCUGGAGGCAGCAGAACUUGUGGAGAAGAGUGAGGCACGUUUGAGAAAGGCUGAAAAAUGUUGCUGUCCAGGCACAUGUGUGUGCUGAAUGACUCAAGGAUUUUUUGGUGCAUUAAAUGAACAGCGCAGCAUUGGACACCUGCUGAUCCAUCACCCCCAGCCCAGGCAGGCACGUGGACGCAGAGAGAUGGAGAAGACCAGGCACGGGACUGAGGAGGGCCACACCACCAGAAAUCCCCCUCUGAGUCCCGGUCCAGCCCCACACCUGUGGGUGCAUGUGGAGCUGCAGGCAGGGCUCCUGCUUCGGACAGAGGAACAGGCAGGGAAGUUGCUGCCUCACGGGUGGAGGAGCCAGGGCGGGGAGGUGGGGAGGCCUGUCUAGCCCCUGUUACUGUUACCACCGGUGGCUCCUCACUCGCCAGUGCGGCUUCGCCUCAGCUUCAUUAAUAGGGGAGGGAGCUAAGAGUUUUCACAUCCAGGUGUGGACAGUGGGGAGACAGGCAGGAGUGGCCGCUGGUUUCUCAGACCUCCCAGAGAGGCUGAGGCAAUGGGCCGCCCUGAAGCAGGCACGAUUCUGUCUUCAGAUGGACACUGGAGGGUCACACUGCGUGGGACGCUGGGCCCUGGCUCUUCUGGGAGGAAAUACUGCCCAGGGCUGCACAUGUUCACUGUGUUUUUUGUAUACUUGAUAUUUUUUUCUUCUCUUCACUCUGUCAUGAAACCAGCCACAGUAGGCAAUAAAUAAAUACAUGUUACAGAUGAAUGUUUACUGUGAGUGAAUUAACAAAGGAGUGAAUAAAUGGACAAUUGAUGUAGGGCCUGUCCUGUCUCAGGGACUCUCAUAAAGUCCUCCACGCUGGGCAGAGCCUGCCUUCCUGCCAGGGUAUCGGGAUGCGACUCUCAACGCGGCAGGACCAGGACACUGAUUCUGCUGAGGAGGCCCGGUCUCAGAAAACUGAGUGGCUGCUUCUGCAGACCCCGCAUCCUCCACUUUCUGGAGGAAGGAGAAGCUCCGGCUGGGUCCUGGGACUGAACCCUUGGGUGCACAGAAAUGGGCUUGGCUGUCUGUCAGUAAAGUGGCCAGAAACACAGACCUGGGGAGGAGGAAGCUGGGCGGGCGGCGUUUUCUGCACAGCGACCUGCUCCUUCGCCUGAUGCCAUUACUCUUCAAGUACCCUGAAGAUUGAGCCCGGGGUGAGGAUGGGUAGGCAGUUUUUGGGGGGAUGGAGUGGGCUUGGAGAAAUGUUGGUGCCUUAGCAGGCUGUGCCCCUGAGAAGCCAGUGUCUACAGCUCAGGUAUUGGGCUGCGUGCACAGAAACAUGCUGCUGAGGGCAUUUGGUGUGGGUAGGGCUGGGAAAAGGAGCCAGGGCUGCCUGUUUUAAUGGGUGUCUGCAGGCAUGCAAUCACAAGAGAGGAGGAAGUAGAGAAGGAGAAGGGAGGCCUCCUUGGGAGGUGCGUCAUCCUGAGGAAGGCUGAACAACGAGGGUCACGGAGAAUCAACUCAGGACCACAGCCUUGCGGAGUGGGCAAAAACAACAGGGCUUCUUGAGGCUGCUCGGGCGUUCACGCACUCAGCAAUGCCUGCUGUGAGUGAGCCUACAUAUUAGGGAAGAGGGACAAUGACCCCAAAUGAGGGACUCUGAGUCAACGACAAGAUUAAACAAAGUUAAAACAAAGUAGGAAAUCAAGAGUGGCUGCUGUGACGGCCUCGUGGAGAUGACAUUAGUGCUGAGAACCAGACAAGUGAGCCUCUGAGCCGCAUCUGCACCCUGAGGCUGAGCCGGCGCACAGGCCCUGCAGAGGGCCUGGACUGGGCUUCUAGAUGGCUCCAGGCCUAGAGGAGCAAGGUUGGGAAGUGGGCAGGCCAGCUCCUGCCAGGCAGGAGAAAGACUCAGACCUCAUGCCUCCUGCGCCUGGGUGAUUGUGAGCACGUAACAAAUGUG